AUUGAACGCUGGCGGCAGGCCUAACACAUGCCAGUCGAGCGGAUGAAGUGAGCUUGCCCCUGGAUUCAGCUUCGGACGGGUGCGUAAUGCCUAUGAAUCUGCCUGGCAGUGGGGGAUAACGUCCGAAAACGGGCGCUAAUACCCCAUACGUCCUGAGGUAGAAAGCGGGUGAUCUUUGGACCUCUCGCUAUCAGAUGAUCCUCGGUCGGAUUAGCUAGUUGGUAGGCUAAAGGCCUACCAAGCCGACUAUCCGUAACUGGUCUGAGAGGAUGAUCAGUCCCACUGGAACUGAGACACGGUCCAGAAUCCUACGGGAGGCAGCAGUGGGGAAUAUUGGACAGUGGGCGGAAGCCUGAUCCAGCCAUGCCGCGUGUGUGAAGAAGGGCUUCGGAUUGUAAAGCACUUUAAGUUGGGAGGACGGGCAGUAAGUUAAUACCUUGCUGUUUUGACGUUACCGACCGAAUAAGCACCGGCUAACUUCGUG
rnacentral:rRNA from 1 species